rnacentral:misc_RNA from 1 species
GAUGAAGAACGCAGUGAAAUGCGAUAAGUAAUGUGAAUUGCAGAAUUCAGUGAAUCAUCGAAUCUUUGAACGCACCUUGCGCCCUUUGGCCAUUCCGAAGGGCAUGCCUGUUUGAGUAUCAUGAACACCUCAACUCUUCAUGGUUUUCCAUGAUGAGCUUGGACUUUGGGGGUCUUGCUGGCCUGUGGGUCGGCUCCUCUCAAAUGAAUCAGCUUGCCGGUUUUUGGUGGGCAUCACAGGUGUGAUAACUAUCUACGCUUGUGGUUUUCCACCAGGGUAACCUUCAGCAGUGGAGGUUCACUGGAGCUUACAAAUGUCUCUCCUCUGUGAGGACAGCCCUUUGAAUGUUUGAUCUCAAAUCAGGUAGGACUACCCGCUGAACUUAAGCAUAUCAAUAAGCGGAGGA